rnacentral:rRNA from 1 species
UGGGGAAUAUUGGACAAUGGGCGAAAGCCUGAUCCAGCAAUGCCGCGUGAGUGAUGAAGGCCUUAGGGUUGUAAAGCUCUUUUACCAGGGAUGAUAAUGACAGUACCUGGAGAAUAAGCUCCGGCUAACUCCGUGCCAGCAGCCGCGGUAAUACGGAGGGAGCUAGCGUUGUUCGGAAUUACUGGGCGUAAAGCGCGCGUAGGCGGCUUUUCAAGUCAGGGGUGAAAUCCCGGGGCUCAACCCCGGAACUGCCCUUGAAACUGGAAAGCUAGAAUCUUGGAGAGGUCAGUGGAAUUCCGAGUGUAGAGGUGAAAUUCGUAGAUAUUCGGAAGAACACCAGUGGCGAAGGCGACUGACUGGACAAGUAUUGACGCUGAGGUGCGAAAGCGUGGGGAGCAAACAGGAUUAGAUACCCCCGUAGUCC